CGCUAUCGAAGGAUAUUGACCUGAAUUCAUAGCA
rfam:Nonlabens sediminis DNA, contig: contig00005, strain: JCM 19294.